ACCCCACUAUCUACCCUCAACAAUUAAUUCUAAGCACUACGGCUACAUAGCUAAAACUUAAAUAACAUGGCGGCGAACCUAAAUUUCAGAGGAACCUACCAGAUAAGUGAUAACCCGCAGAAAAUUCUUACUCUUCCUAAAAGUUUAUAUAUCGUCGUCUAGUAACCCUCUAAGAGGGUUACGAUUAAAACAGAUUAAUAAGACAGAUCAUGACAUAGCAAAUGGAAGAGACAUGAGGUGGGUUACAAUAAAAAAAUUUUUACGGAGAGAGGAUAAAAUUCUUCUUGUAAGACGGAUUUGAAAGUAAAAAAUAAUAUAAUUAUUUCUUGAAUUUUUCUAGGCUCGUGUACACACCG
rnacentral:rRNA from 1 species